GAUCCUGGCUCAGGAUGAACGCUAGCUACAGGCUUAACACAUGCAAGUCGAGGGGCAGCAUGAACUUAGCUUGCUAAGUUUGAUGGCGACCGGCGCACGGGUGAGUAACACGUAUCCAACCUGCCGAUGACUCGGGGAGUAGCCUUUCGAAGAAGAUUAAUACCCGAUGGCAUAGUUCUUCCGCAUGGUAGAACUAUUAAAGAAUUUCGGUCAUCGAUGGGGAUGCGUUCCGAUUAGGG
rnacentral:rRNA from 1 species